CAGUAGGGAGGAAGGUAGUGUAGUUAACACCUGCAUUAUUUGACGUUACCUACAGAAGAAGCACCGGCUAACUCCGUGCCAGCAGCCGCGGUAAUACGGAGGGUGCGAGCGUUAAUCGGAAUUACUGGGCGUAAAGCGCAUGCAGGCGGCCUGUUAAGUCAGAUGUGAAAGCCCGGGGCGUUAACCUCGGAAUUGCAUUUGAAACUGGCAGGCUAGAGUCUUGUAGAGGGGGGUAGGAAUUUCAGGUGUAGCGGUGAAAUAGCGUAGAGAUCUGAAGGAAUACCAGUGGCGAAGGCGGCCCCCUGGACAAAGACUGACGCUCAGAUGCGAAAGCGUGGGGAGCAAACAGGAUUAGAUACCCUGGUAG
rnacentral:rRNA from 1 species